GGGGAUUUAGCUCAGUGGUAGAGCGCUUGCCUAGCAAGCGCAAGGCCCUGGGUUCGAUCCUAAGCUCCG
rnacentral:tRNA from 1 species